rnacentral:lncRNA from 1 species
GGUGGGGGGAGAGAGAGAAGAAGAGAGGAGGUAAGUGGGGGGUUACCGAAAGAUGGCAGCGGAGGAGAUGAUGACGGUCAUGCAUGCUGGCCUUACAUCUCAUCGCAUUCCAUUGAAUGCUAUUUUUUUCUUUAACACACCGACAAAGCUAAUACUCUCUGAACUCUUCCAUUAGCUUAUAAAAAAAGUUUUGAGAUGCGUAUCGAUCUAACGGAGAGAGAUCCGACAGGAUAAAAGCUG